rnacentral:lncRNA from 1 species
AUCGAGCCCCAGAAAUGGUCAACUUGUACAGUGGCAAAAUCAUCACCACGAAGGCAGAUAUUUGGGCUCUUGGCUGUUUGUUGUAUAAAUUAUGCUACUUCACUUUGCCAUUUGGGGAGAGCCAGGUGGCAAUUUGUGAUGGAAGCUUCACAAUUCCUGAUAACUCUCGAUAUUCACAAGAUAUGCACUGCCUUAUUAGGUAUAUGUUGGAACCAGACCCUGACAAAAGGCCGGAUAUUUACCAGGUUUCUUACUUCUCAUUUAAACUACUCAAGAAAGAAUGCCCAGUUCCAAAUGUACAGAAUUCUCCCAUUCCUACAAAACUUCCUGAACCAGUGAAAGCCAGUGAGGCAGCUGUAAAAAAGACCCAGCCAAAGGCCAGACUGACAGAUCCCAUUCCCACCACAGAGACUUCAAUUGCACCCCGCCAGAGGCCUAAAGCUGGGCAGACUCAGCCAAACCCCGGAAUCCUUCCCAUUCAGCCAGCCCUGACUCCUCGUAAGAGGGCCACUGUUCAGCCCCUACCUCAGGCUACAGGACCCAGCAAUCAGCCUAGCCUUCUAGCCAGUGUUUCCCAGCCUAAAGCCCAAGCCACGCCCAGUCAACCUCUUCAGUCAUCUCAACCCAAGCAGCCACAAGCUCCACCCACCCCACAGCAGACGCCUGCUCCCCAGACCCAGGGUCUGCCCACCCAGGCCCAGGCUACUCCUCAGCACCAGCAGCAGCUCCUCCUCAAGCAGCAGCAGCAGCAGCAACAGCAGCAGCAGCAGCAACAGCCACAGCAGCCAACAGCACCACCACAGCCAUCAGGCACCUUUUACCAGCAGCAGCAGCCCCAGCAGCAGCAGGCUCAGACUCAGCAGUUUCAGGCAGUGCAUCCAGCAGCCCAGCAAUCAGUCACUGCUCAGUUCCCUGUGGUGUCCCAGGGAGGCUCUCAGCAACAGCUGAUGCAGAACUUCUACCAGCAGCAGCAGCAGCAGCAACAGCAGCAGCAACAGCUGAUGGCUCAGCAGGCCGCCCUGCAGCAGAAGACUGCUGUGGUAGUACCACAGCCUCAGGCACAGCCAGCCACAGCCCCACAGGCAGCUGCUGCCCAGGAGCCUGCGCAGAUUCAAGCCCCAGCAAGACAACAGCCAAAAGUUCAGACCACUCCACCUCCAACCAUCC